rnacentral:rRNA from 1 species
GUCCAGACUCCUACGGGAGGCAGCAGUAGGGAAUCUUUCACAAUGGGCGAAAGCCUGAUGGAGCAACGCCGCGUGCAGGAUGAAGGCCUUCGGGUUGUAAACUGCUUUUAUAAGCGAGAAAUAUGAUGGUAACUUAUGAAUAAGGAUCGGCUAACUACGUGCCAGCAGCCGCGGUCAUACGUAGGAUCCGAGCAUUAUCCGGAGUGACUGGGUGUAAAGAGUUGCGUAGGCGGUAUGUCAAGUCAAGGGUGAAAUCCCCGCGCUCAACGUGGGAACUGCCUUUGAAACUGGCAAACUGGAGUGUGUGAGAGGAUAGUGGAAUUCCAGGUGUAGGAGUGAAAUCCGUAGAUAUCUGGAGGAACAUCAGUGGCGAAGGCGACUAUCUGGCACAUAACUGACGCUGAGGAGCGAAAGCGUGGGUAGCAAACAGGAUUAGAUACCCCAGUAAA